UCUCGCGGGCUCUCGCGAGAGGCGGCGGCGGGCGGUGUUGGCGGCGGGGGGGGACGCGGCCGCGGUGGCGGCGGGAUGGGAGCGCCGAGAUGCCCCGUCACUGCUCCGCUGCCGGCUGCUGCACCCGCGACACUCGGGAGACCCGCAACCGAGGCAUCUCCUUCCACCGGCUGCCCAAGAAGGACAACCCGCGGCGGGCGCUGUGGCUGGAGAACAGCCGGCGACGGGACGCCAGCGGGGAGGGCCGCUGGGACCCGGCCUCCAAGUACAUCUACUUCUGCUCCCAGCACUUCGAGAAGAGCUGCUUCGAGAUAGUCGGCUUCAGCGGCUACCACCGUCUCAAGGAAGGCGCCGUGCCCACCGUCUUCGAGGCGGCCUCCCCCAGACCCCCCCGGGCCACCAAGCCGAAGCCCCCCGUGCCCGACAGUGACACCCCAAAGCCCCCUCGGGCCACCAGGAGGUGGAGGCAGGACCCCACCCCUUCCCCACCGGAGCCCCCCUUCACCGCCGACGUCUCCUGCUUCCCCCGGGAAGGCGAAGACCCCGGUGCCCCCCCAGCCGGUGACCACGGGGGUGUCCCGGCCCUUCCCGGCCCCUCGGGUGCCCGGGGUCCCCUCCCGGACAGCCUUUUGGUGGCCACAGGGGACGAGGAAGCCACGGCCACCCCGGCCCUCCCCGAGGGUGACCCCCCGGCAGCCCCCCGCCCCGUUUCCCCCUCCCUCUACAUGCUGCGGCUGCCGCCGCCGGCCGGGGCGUACAUCCAGAGCGAGCACAGCUACCAGGUGGGCAGCGCCCUGCUCUGGAAACGCCGCGCCGAAGCCGCCCUCGACGCCCUCGACAAAGCCCAACGGCAGCUCCAAGCCUGCAAACGGCGAGAGCAAAGGCUGCGGCUCCGCGUGGGCGAGCUGCAACGGGAACGCCGCGGCCCCCUCGAGGCUCGGCGGCCCCCGAAGGAGCCUCCGCCGCGGGUGGUGGAGCUGCAGGUGCUCGGCGAUGGCGGCGAGUGAGGGCUUCCCGGCGGACGCCCGGCUCUUCUCCUCUUCCCUGCCCCGCUGCCGCUGGGAAGAUCGAUGAGCUGCUUUAGCUCAAUAAGCUCCGGGUGGGAAGACAAAGGGAGUUUUGGGGACCGAAACAUCUCCAAGGGCAAGCAAGAGGCCAGCGCUGAGCAAAUGUUCCUUUACUGGCUGCGGGGAGGGUUUUGGGCACUAUCUGCCCCCUCCAGGAAGGAAAGCGAGCGGGUCAGUCGCCAGAAAAACGGCCCUCAUCCACCCAGCACCCGCCUGGACCCAAAUAAUCGGAAUUAAGCCUUUACUUUCCGCAGCCAGCGUGGCACUGAGGCGCCGGGCUGGGGUAGCAGCGAGCGCCGAGGCCAGCCCGUCACCCGCGGCAUGCUCCAGCACCGUUAAAAACACCCCAAAGGAAGCAAAAA